GCCUCCCACCCCCACCUGGGGAACUUUGCCCCAGCCUGAGAAGAGCUCAGACCAGAAGGCCACGAGGGAAGGCAGGAGAUCCUGAGCUGCGGGAUGCUGGGCUGUUGGAGCUCUUAUCGGGCGCCCCGCACGGGAACCCCAGGACCGGGAGGGAAGCCGCGCCAGGCCGGAAGGGCUCCGCGCCAGGGGUCCUCCCGGAAGUGCACCUCUCCCCGGGGUCCCCCCAGCCCUGCAGCGCGAGGCUGCGAACCCACCUGCCCCAGUGCGGCUGCGGCCAUGACGGGUGCGCCGAGUAACAGUGCCGGCCGGGGGCGCGGCAUGGGGGGG